ACUGAUUCCUGCAGGACCCCAGUCGUUAUGCCCUUCCAGCAUGACUGUGGACCACUGAUGAUUACUCUCUGGGAAUGGUUUUCCAACCAGUUAUUCACUCACCUUAUAGUAGCUCCAUCUGUAUUGCAUUUCCCUAGUGUGUUUAUGAAUAGUGAAUCAUUAUUUUAAUCCUGAUAAUAUUGUCAGAGAAAUAGAAGAGUAGGAUAAUGCACACAAAAAUCUCUAGAGAGCAUUUCAGAUGUUUUGGUUAUGGUUACUAAAGAUCUAGGGUCAGAUGGACUAUACCAUACAUAAAUAUGUGCCAUCCAAACCUGUCAUGGGCAGCAGUAACGUACCCACUAGCAACAAGUUCCAGUUGGUUCUAUACGGAUGGGGACAGAACUAUGAAUUGAAUUGUUUUUUAUUCCCUUGAGCCCAAGAGUAAUCCUGUUCACCAAUUACUUGAAAUUAAAGUCAAGUAAUUUGACACAUCUGUUUGGUUCCUGACCACAAACUACCUCUUAAGCAAACCAAAGAGUUGGAUAGUUUACUUCCACAAUACUCUCUAGAGUUUCAUUACUGCAGUCAUGACAAGAAAAGAAAACUGAGAGGUUAUUCAGGUUCUUCAAUUGCUAUUUUCUUUGUCAUUACUGCUGCUGUUAUGUGAUCCCAAAAGAUUCAAAAUAGAGGAAACUGGAAAGGUAGUUUGUUAACUUCCCAGCCAAUCAUAACAAACACGACAAAAAUGGAGCAAUGCAGGUCUGAAAGUGCAAUAUUGGAUGUAAGAGAACAUGCUGUUCUCUGCAGUGGGAUUCUGAUUCCAGACAUUCUAUAGCCUGACAUCCACUGGGAAAGUGAUGACAUCAUUAAUUAUUUAAAGCAUUGGGACUGGAUUCUGCUGCUUAACUCCCCAACACUGUAAACCCAGAGGACGUCUACUGAGAUUAACAGUGUGCCUGUGGAUUUGCACUCCUGGAACUGAGAGCAGAAACUGGUGAUUGGGAUUUGUAUAGGCUGGGAAAUCUGUAUUUCUGAAGCAUCUACCCAAGCUUUUUAUUCAUGGUUUGAGAAUGAGUUUGCCAAUCACCAAGAAAGAAACAAGAGGAGGCUGCAUUUAAAAUCAAAAUGCUUUCUUUGUACUAACUACGCGUGGCUGCCCUCAUCAUCCAACACGGAUUUUUCUGCAGAACAAAGAUGCAUCAAUAAAUAAUAAUAAUGUAAUGGUGUCUUUUAACAGCAAUCUCCAUUCAGCUGUGUGGUUUUAAGUUUGCUCUUUUUGACCAAAUUAGGAAGAGGGCAAAGUUUGUUAUUCCUAUUUUUAAAAUCCAUUAUUUGAAAGGGAUGUUUCUUCUCUAACCAUAGAUUUUGCUAUAUACAGUGCCUAGCUGUGCAUACAAGGCAUCCCAUAUGGUUGAAGUAGGCUGGAGGGGUUGCUACUAACCAUAUUUAAAAAAGCAGAUGUUACUAAUCUUCUAAAUAUUACACAAAAAUGAUGUCAUUUAUGAUUGACAACGGUUGUGGCUCAUCAAUCCUUUUCAAUAUUUUUUUCUCACAAAAGACAAUGCAACACAAAUGUCGAAGCAAAUUUCUUUUAAAGAGAGCUUGCCUCUAAGAGCAGACCAGUUUGUGUUAGCAUUGAAUUGUUUAGCCGAAAGUCAGCCCCUGCAGGGGGACACAUACAUAUGUUAUAUGUGAGAAACUAGCGAAGCUUGUCUAUGAAUAGUACAGUCAGACAGACUUUUCAGGCUACAUUUUGAGAGCCAGUUUUCAAUCUGGCAAGCUGAAUUUUGUGCCCAAAAUUGAUUACUACCCCAACAAUACUGCAGCCUCACACCUAUUUUCUUUGCAUGUGCAUUCAGGAUAUUUUGACACCAAACUGCCUGAUUUGUGUAUGGAAAUUGAUUUUUAUGUACACAAAAUUGAUGUGCGCCCAAUUAUAAGCUUACAACCAAUUGUGCUUGCAAAAGUAAGCAAAUAAAGUAUCCCAGGGCUGAAACUUUGGCCCUAAGUGAGCUACAUAUGACCCACAAUGAAUUAUCUGUCUUUAACAGAUUAGUUUGACAACAAUGUACUAGCUUGGUUUUAUGUUUACAGCAAUUCCACAUUAGUAAGAUCUUUUCAUUGUCCUUACAGAGUGUGUGCAUCAGCUAUAGUUCUCUGGUGUGUAUGUACUGGCUUUCCUUGCUGGAGAUCAAUAAAAUAUACAGAAGAAA